rnacentral:rRNA from 1 species
AACGAACGCUGGCGGCAUGCAUAACACAUGCAAGUCGAACGAGACCUUCGGGUAUAGUGGCGCACGGGUGCGUAACGCGAGGGAAUCUGCCCUUUGCUACGGAAUAACUCAGAGAAAUUUGUGCUAAUACCGUAUAAUGUCGUAAGACCAAAGAUUUAUCGGCAAAGGAUGAGCCCGUGUAAGAUUAGCUUGUUGGUGGGGUAAAGGCCUACCAAGGCGACGAUCUUUAGCUGGUCUGAGAGGAUGAUCAGCCACACUUGGACUGAGCCACGGCCCAUACGUCUACGGGAGGCAGACGGGGGGAAUAUUGGACAGCGAGCGAAAGCCUGAUCCCGCAAUGCCGCGGGAGUGAUGAAGGCCGUUGGGUUUUAAAGCUCUUUUACCAGGGAUGAUAAUGGCAGGACCGGGAGAAUAAGCUCCGGCUAACACCUUGCCAGCCGCCGCAGUAACAC